AAAGGAGACAGAUGCAGACAUUUUAUUCUGACGUGUCACCAUGAGAAUGUCCAAGUUCCAAAAGUUCAAAUAAAAAUAGAAUUUUACAAAUUAAAAAAAAAUACAAUUUAUAUACACAGUAGAAUUAGCUAACAUUACAUAUAGACGAACAGUGCAAACAGAAAGGAGGAAGCCGUGCUGUGGAAAUGACUGAGGUCCAAGGAGCCGAGGGGCAACGCUGCUGUCAACCCUGUCGUGUGCCGGGGGCCGCGCAGGCCUUUCCUGAAGCUGUCUUCACUAACGGCCGUGCCAGUUCGCCAUUCUGCACGGCGGUGGUCCGUGUACGGUGGGGUCAAGCGAGAGUCCCUGCCAGCCCAGGGCUGCUCGUCUACCAAGGUCACCAGUGGAUCAUCCCCCAAAGCAGUCUCCACAGCCAGGCCUAGGACGCGGCCCCCAGCCCCACUUCUGGGCCCCUGGCAACGGCAAGCAGAUGAAGCACAGAAAACCGUCUCCAGCCAGCCCGACUCCUACCGCGGGCCUGGGCAUUUGAGGUGCCGUGGCCCUGGGGGCGCUGGGAACAGCAAGCGCUGGACAGGAAGCGGGGGAGCAAGGCGUAGUCACAGGUCGCAUCUGGCGGAGGGGCUGUCUUUGGGCUUUUUGGGGAGGGCAGGUGCAGGUGGGAGGAGCAGAGUGAGUCUGGCCCUAAGGGGAGCCUGGCUCGGGUCCUCUUUGGCGCUGUCCCCUCGCUGCAGGGGGAGGGAGGCAUCUGCAUUCUACUGUCUAUUUCUGGGCUAGACUGGGGGUGACUCAAACACAACAGGAUACGCACGAGGGAUAAAUUCCACCGGUGUUUCACCGGGCGGCCGCAAGGCAGUCGGCUGGCGCCCCUGCCCUCUCCGAGCCGGGUCCGGGCUGGGCUCCUGCUCUGCCUGUCUGUGAGAGCCAGGGAGAGGGGAGGACGCUUCUGCAAUAGGCAGUCACACCACUCGCCUGGCUUACACAACUGGUUUGCUUUUUCGUUUUGCAGUGCUGGAGUUAGAACCCAAGGUCUCGCACAUGCUAGGCAACUGCUCUACCGCUGAGCUACACCACCAGCCCUUUUUGUUUUUAAGCCUGCUGGCCUCGCAGGAGCUCGAGAGAGGCAGGGACCUGGGGCUUCAGAGUCUGUGACCCUGCCACACCCUACUGUCCCCGUCUUGGAGAGCUAUUCUGCGAGCUGCUUCGUGCCACUCCUUCACAUCAGCUCCCGUCACUGAUGCGGGGACGGAAGGCCACAGCGCAAGCCGUCAGAACUGGUCGGAAGAGCUGGCAGCUUCACCCAAGGAAGGAACGCAAUUCCAUCUACAACAACUAAACUCGUGUCACAGCACGCUGUGCAUGGGCCGGGUCACCUGGACGCCCCUUCCUUUACAGGGACAUGGUGUCCUGGAGGGCUCUGAGGUAACACUGACCGAACGCCUCCAAAAGGGGGGCUCCAGGGAGCACCGCAGGGCUGUGGGUGCGGCCCUGGGCCAGCACCCUGCCCGGCCCUCAGCACCACAAAGGCAAAAAAGGGAAAAGCUAACACCGAAGGCGGAGAUUCUCUGCUGAGGACAGACACUUCCCAGGGGGAAAAUCAGCGUGAACCACAGGCUGUUUCCUUCAAACUAGACACAAGAGCUCUCUGGGCAAAGUGGAAGGCUGACGAAGAGCUGGCGUGGUGACCUCUGCAGCGCAGGGAUGAGGGCGUGGCUCUGUUUGACCAUUUCUUAUUUUUCUCAAGGAAAGAAACAGUAAUCAUGUAAUAAGGGGAAAAUGAAGUUCUAAAAAGAAAUAGGGGAAAGCCUGCAGCAAUCGCUAUUGGGUGUCCUAUCUUUUAAACCGCUCAGGUGUCAGUCUGAAGCACUUUCCUCUGACUUCUGAA